UAUACAACUAUGUUCUGGGGGACUUUGGAGAGAAGAAGAAAAAAAAAAAGGAAAAGGUAAGACAUAAAUGAAGCAUGCUCUUUCCUGUCAGGUGGACGGUCUGGAUUUAUAUGCAUGACCCUCUGUAGACAAGAGCUGGCCUGCCUCCAAGUCUGCUGGCCUGGUCCUGAGUGCAGGAGGAAGUGCUGCCAAUGACCUCCUUGACUGUGUCGGCAGGUCAUUUUCACUGUGCAGAUCCUGCAGGUUGACUGACAGCCACACCUCUGCAGGAAUCUGAGCUGUACUAGAAAAUUGUCUGGAAUACAUCUGUUUUAAGCUGAACUUUCACAAACUGCUUUCUCGGACACCGAGACCGUCAGGUUUUCACGCAGGAACAUUUCCAUGCCCAUAGCAGGUGGCAUCUCCUAUGAGUGGACCCCAUGGCUAUGGUGCCUUCCCACCUAUCCAUGAAAUUGGUGGGCAGAGGGACAGUUUCAGGAACAUGGCUACAGGACCCUGGAGAGAAGAGAAAGCAAAGACAGGGUGGAGGCAUGGACGUCACAAACGUCAAACCACUUCUCUGAGAUGGACUGCUUUGGAAAUAGGCCAUUUGAAGGAAGCCAGGGGUGCUGCUGUCUGUCCUUGUCAUUAACGACUUUCCAAUAUGCUUUGCCUUUGAA